CUACGGGAUGCUGCAGUGAGGAAUUUUGCGCAAUGGGGGAAAUCCUGACGCAGCAACGCCGCGUGAGUGAAGAAGGCCUUUGGGUCGUAAAGCUCUGUCAACAGGGAAGAAGUUACAAUUGUUUAAUAGAUGAUUGUAUUGACGGUAUCUGUGGAGGAAGCGCCGGCUAACUCCGUGCCAGCAGCCGCGGUAACACGGGGGGCGCAAGCGUUAUUCGGAAUUAUUGGGCGUAAAGGGCGCGCAGGCGGUCUUGUCCGUCAGGUGUGAAAGCUCGGGGCUCAACCCCGGAAGUGCACUUGAAACAGCAAGACUUGAAUACGGGAGAGGAAAGCGGAAUUCCUGGUGUAGAGGUGAAAUUCGUAGAUAUCAGGAGGAACACCGAUGGCGAAGGCAGCUUUCUGGACCGAUAUUGACGCUGAGGCGCGAAGGCGUGGGGAGCGAACGGGAUUAGAUACCCGGGUAGUC
rnacentral:rRNA from 1 species